rnacentral:tRNA from 1 species
GGAGGAAUGGCCGAGCGGUCGAAGGCGGCGGUCUUGAAAACCGUUAGUGGGGCGACUCACUCGGGGGUUCGAAUCCCUCUUCCUCCGCCA